CCAUUUGGCACCGUUGCCCAUUGGCUCCGCGGGCCGCCUCACGUGACCGCGCCCAGGGCGGCGCCGCCGGGGGCACCGGCGACCUGCAGGGCUGGGCGACGGGGACCCGGCGGUUGGCGGCGACCAGAACCCAGUGUGGCCGAUAUUGCUCCUAUUUUACAGAUGAGGACAAUGAAGCUCAGAAAUAUUAAUUACUUGUCCAGCGUCUCGGUGCUGCUAUCCUUGCCCCCUGUCAGUUUCCAGAGUGAUCUUCCCCUCAAGCCAGACUGGGUCUGCCACCGGCCUGCUUGGCGUCUCCUGCCACCUGCAUGGUACGAGG